CGGAACAACACCAUCUGAAUGACCUGAUAUCCGGCUGUGACCUCACCGAUCUCUCCCACUUCGACGACACCAGCGGCGACGGCAAGCUCGACAUCAACGAGUUCUACAUCGCCUUCAACAAGCUAUACAGCAUCGCCAUGGUGUCGCUGGACAAAUCUCUGGAGGUGAACCUUCUGUCCGCUCUGGUGGGUGACAACGUCGAGAUCAAGUGUGACGUCACUGGGUCUCCGGCGCCCCGCGUCGUCUGGAGACGGUCGGGUCGGGAGCUGACUCAGCUGCAGGACGAGGCUCUGCGCGUGUUCCCGGACGGCUCCCUGUACCUGAGCCAUGUGCAGCUGAUCCACGCCGGC